ACCUGCUCGGCCGGGAUGGUACAGUCUGCAGAAGGACUCCUGUAAUGUAGCUCAGUUUAUCAAUCCCUUACAGAUGCCGACCAGUGAUUACUCCGGUGGGGGAAUUGAAAUAAUGUUGGAUUUGUGAUGAUAUCUUAGCCAAGUCUGAAGGAAAAGAUGACCAUGUAGAUGCCAACAGCAAGGGUGCAACAUAAUGGGAAACAGUGAAUGGACUGGAACUGGCCUGCAACCUUGAAGGCCACCAUCCUGCAGACUACGACGUGGUCGGAGACACUUCAGCCAUUAGCUGUUUUCUCAACUUUGAUUUCUGGAAGCAUAAAGUGGAUUCCUUCUAUAGUCUAGGCUGGACCUUGUGUUUCCACCCUUGCCGAUUUUCAAGUUGUAUAUAACGCACGGAGCUGAGCAAUACCAUCGGCAGCAAUGGGUGACAUGACAAACAGCGAUUUUUAUUCAAAGAACCAAAGAAAUGAGGCCAACCAUGAAGGAGAGUUUGGGUGCACACUUGAGGACCUGCGUUCUCUCAUGGAACUUCGAGGAACAGAAGCAGUGGUAAAAAUUAAAGAGACCUACGGAGACACAGAGGGCCUCUGCAGACACUUGAAGACAUCGCCAACAGAAGGAUUACCUGGCACUGCUGCUGACUUAGAUAAAAGAAAGCUAAUUUUUGGGAAAAACUUUAUACCUCCAAAGAAGCCAAAAACUUUCUUGCAGUUAGUCUGGGAAGCAUUACAGGAUGUGACUCUUAUCAUCUUGGAAAUCGCAGCCAUCAUAUCUCUUGGGCUCUCAUUUUAUCAUCCUCCUGGAGAGGCAAAUGAAGGUUGUGCUGCUGCAGCAGCAGGAGCUGAAGAUGAGGGGGAGGCAGAAGCUGGCUGGAUUGAAGGUGCUGCCAUCCUGCUCUCUGUUAUUUGCGUGGUACUGGUCACUGCCUUUAAUGACUGGAGCAAAGAGAAGCAAUUUCGUGGACUUCAGAGUCGUAUUGAGCAAGAACAGAAGUUUACUGUGGUCCGGGGUGCACAAGUUAUUCAAAUCCCAGUAGCAGAGAUAGUAGUUGGUGACAUUGCACAGAUCAAAUAUGGUGACCUCCUACCUUCUGAUGGGAUAUUUAUUCAAGGAAAUGACCUUAAGAUUGAUGAAAGCUCUUUAACUGGAGAGUCAGAUCAAGUCCGCAAAUCUGUUGACAAAGAUCCAAUGUUGCUUUCUGGUACCCAUGUUAUGGAAGGCUCAGGAAGAAUGAUUGUUACUGCUGUGGGAGUUAAUUCUCAAACAGGGAUCAUCUUCACUCUACUAGGUGCCGGUGAAGAAGAGGAGAAGAAGGAUAAGAAAGGUAUCAAAAGGGAGGAUGGACAUCAGCUUCCAGUAGAUUCUUCCCAUCCUUCCUUCCAUCCUCCUUCAACUACAGAUGGGGCAGCAGGUGCAAAUGCCACUGAUAAUGCAAAUGCCAGCUUAGUCAAUGGCAAAAUGCAGGAUGGAAAUAUGGAGAACAGCCAGAGCAAAGCCAAACAACAAGAUGGUGCUGCUGCGAUGGAGAUGCAGCCCCUGAAGAGUGCAGAAGGGGGAGAAGGAGAUGACAAAGACAAGAGGAAAGCUAACAUGCAUAAGAAAGAGAAAUCUGUCCUCCAGGGGAAGCUGACAAAAUUGGCUGUCCAGAUAGGCAAAGCAGGUUUGGUGAUGUCUGCCAUCACAGUCAUCAUUUUAGUACUCUUCUUCUGUAUUGACACCUUUGUAGUCAACAAGAAACCAUGGCUGCCUGAAUGCACUCCAGUCUAUGUUCAGUAUUUUGUGAAGUUCUUCAUCAUUGGUGUGACUGUGCUUGUAGUUGCUGUCCCAGAAGGACUUCCUCUUGCUGUCACUAUUUCCCUUGCUUACUCUGUAAAGAAAAUGAUGAAAGACAACAAUUUGGUCCGUCAUUUGGACGCAUGUGAGACUAUGGGUAAUGCUACAGCCAUCUGCUCUGAUAAGACAGGGACUUUAACAACCAACCGAAUGACUGUAGUACAAGCCUAUGUUGGAGAUGUCCACUACAAAGAGAUCCCUGACCCAGAUUCCAUUCCAGCCAAAACUCUGGAGUUGCUGGUUAAUUCCAUUGCCAUCAACAGUGCUUAUACUUCAAAGGUUCUGCCACCAGAAAUGGAAGGUGGUCUACCUCGUCAGGUUGGCAACAAGACAGAAUGCGGCUUAUUGGGGUAUGUCUUGGACCUAAAGCAGGAUUAUCAACCGAUCCGGAAUCAAAUCCCUGAAGAGAAGCUGUACAAAGUGUAUACAUUUAACUCUGUGAGAAAGUCAAUGAGCACUGUCAUUCAGUUACCAGAUGGUAACUUCCGAAUGUACAGCAAAGGAGCUUCAGAAAUUGUCCUAAAGAAGUGUUCCAAGAUCCUUAAUGCAGCAGGUGAGCCUCGCAUCUUUAGACCCCGUGACAGGGAUGAGAUGGUAAAGAAGGUGAUUGAACCCAUGGCCUCUGAAGGACUAAGAACCAUCUGUGUUGCAUUUCGAGACUUCUCCAACAACCCUGAGCCAGACUGGGAUAAUGAAAAUGAUAUUUUGACUGACCUGACCUGUAUUUGUGUGGUUGGCAUAGAAGAUCCUGUAAGACCUGAGGUGCCGGAAGCUAUAAGAAAGUGCCAGCGAGCUGGAAUUACAGUCCGAAUGGUCACCGGAGACAAUAUCAAUACAGCUCGUGCCAUUGCCAUAAAGUGCGGAAUCAUUCAUCCUGGAGAAGAUUUCCUCUGUAUUGAGGGAAAGGAGUUCAACCGAAGGAUCCGAAAUGAGAAAGGAGAGAUUGAGCAGGAACGAAUUGACAAGAUCUGGCCAAAACUUCGUGUCCUGGCUCGUUCAUCUCCCACUGAUAAGCACACUUUGGUAAAAGGUAUUAUUGACAGCACGCAAGUGGAGCAGAGGCAGGUUGUAGCAGUAACUGGCGAUGGAACUAAUGAUGGACCAGCGCUUAAGAAAGCAGAUGUUGGCUUUGCGAUGGGUAUCGCAGGAACUGACGUGGCAAAAGAAGCAUCCGAUAUUAUCCUAACAGACGACAAUUUUAGUAGUAUUGUGAAAGCUGUAAUGUGGGGGCGUAACGUCUACGACAGCAUCUCCAAGUUCCUGCAGUUUCAGCUUACAGUAAAUGUGGUGGCCGUCAUCGUUGCUUUCACUGGUGCUUGCAUUACCCAGGAUUCUCCAUUGAAAGCUGUACAGAUGCUAUGGGUCAAUCUGAUUAUGGACACCUUUGCCUCUCUUGCUCUGGCAACGGAACCUCCCACAGAAUCCUUGUUGUUAAGGAAACCAUAUGGCAGAAACAAGGCUCUUAUCUCACGCACCAUGAUGAAGAACAUUCUGGGCCAUGCUGUAUACCAGCUCACUCUCAUUUUUACCCUCCUCUUUGUUGGUGAAAAAAUAUUCAGGAUUGACAAUGGCAGAAAUGCACCACUCCACUCUCCACCUUCUGAGCAUUACACCAUCAUCUUCAAUACGUUUGUUAUGAUGCAGCUGUUUAAUGAAAUCAAUGCACGCAAGAUCCAUGGUGAAAGGAAUGUUUUUGAUGGCAUCUUUAGAAAUCCUAUAUUUUGCACUAUUGUACUGGGGACAUUUGGUGUGCAGAUAGUAAUCAUACAGUUUGGUGGAAAACCUUUUAGCUGUUCUCCUUUACAACUUGACCAGUGGAUGUGGUGUGUAUUUAUUGGACUGGGUGAACUUGUGUGGGGGCAGGUGAUUGCAACUAUCCCAACAAGUAGGUUAAAAUUUUUAAAGGAAGCAGGAGGGCUGACAGAAAAGACAGAGGCUCCUGAAGAGGAACUGAAUGAAGAUGUAGAAGAAAUUGAUCAUGCAGAGCGAGAACUUCGACGUGGACAAAUCCUCUGGUUCAGAGGGCUUAAUAGAAUCCAAACUCAGAUCGAAGUAGUCAAUACUUUCAAGAGUGGCACUUCCUUUCAGGGAGCUCUCAGGAGACAAUCCUCCGUCACCAGCCAGAACCAGGAUGUAACCAAUAUUUCUAGCCCUAGCCACGUUUCGUUAUCCAAUGCUCUUUCCUCUCCUACCAGCACACCUGCUGCGGCAGCUGGGCAGGGCUAGAGAUCACUGGACAAAAGGGUUCAGCAGGAGAGAGUGAAAUAAAAAGAGGUUGUGAGUCUUUAACCUUGAGCCUGACAUGAAUGUGAACCAAACUCCAGAUACUUGGCUUAUAUGAAGCCAGAUCCGCGUCGUGAAGGCAUUCCGUAGCUCUCUCUAUGAAGGUUUAGAAAAACCAGAAUCUAGAACAUCCAUUCACAACUUUAUGACUCAUCCUGAAUUUAGGAUAGAAGAUUCCCAGCCCCAUAUUCCUCUC